rnacentral:rRNA from 1 species
GACGAACGCUGGCGGCGUGCCUAAUACAUGCAAGUAGAACGCUGAAGCUUGGUGCUUGCACCGAGCGGAUGAGUUGCGAACGGGUGAGUAACGCGUAGGUAACCUGCCUGGUAGCGGGGGAUAACUAUUGGAAACGAUAGCUAAUACCGCAUAAGAGUAGAUGUUGCAUGACAUUUGCUUAAAAGGUGCAAUUGCAUCACUACCAGAUGGACCUGCGUUGUAUUAGCUAGUUGGUGAGGUAACGGCUCACCAAGGCAACGAUACAUAGCCGACCUGAGAGGGUGAUCGGCCACACUGGGACGGAGACACGGCCCAGACUCCUACGGGAGGCAGCAGUAGGGAAUCUUCGGCAAUGGACGGAAGUCUGACCGAGCAACGCCGCGUGAGUGAAGAAGGUUUUCGGAUCGUAAAGCUCUGUUGUAAGAGAAGAACGAGUGUGAGAGUGGAAAGUUCACACUGUGACGGUAUCUUACCAGAAAGGGACGGCUAACUACGUG